rnacentral:lncRNA from 10 species
AUGCAUGAAAUCAAAAUUUGUAGAAUCUGCAAUUUUAUGCACUCACUCACUCACACCAAAAUGUGAGAACCAUAAAUCUACUCAUAUUUCAUAACUAAUCAGAAAACUUGGAACUAUGGGUGCAGAUAACUUGUUGAUGGUGACAACUUAUAUUUUUGAAAUAUCUCGUCUUCUACGUUUCUUUAAGGGAAGCUUUGAAGUAGAAAGACGAAAUUUUGGUUAUUCUUUUUUUUUUUUUUAAUUUUACUUUGAGUUCUGGGAUACAUGUGCAGAACGUGCAGGUUUGUUGCAUAGGUAUACAUGUGCCAUGGUGGUUUGCUGCACCUGUCAACCCAUCAUCUAGGUUUUAAGCCCUGCAUGCAUUAGGUAUUUGUCCUAAUGCUCUCUGUCCCCUUGCCCCCCAUCCCCCAACAGGCCCUGGUGUGUGAUGUUCCCCUCCCUGUGUCCAUGUGUUCUCAUUGUGCAACUCCCACUUAUGAGUGAGAACAUGUGGUGUUUGGUUUUCUGUUCCUGUGUUUGGUGAGAAUGAUGGUUUCCAGCUUCAUCCAUGUUCCUGCAAAGGACAUGAACUCAUUCUUUUUAUGGCUGCAUAGUAUUCCAUGGCAUAAAUGUGCCACAUUUUCUUUAUCCAGUCUAUCAUUGAUGGGCAUUUGGGUUGGUUCCAAGUCUUUGCUAUUGUCAAUAGUGCUGCAAUAAACAUACAUGUGCAUGUGUC